UCAUCCAAAUAGGCAGAGACAAACCCAAGCCAGGACCCUCUAGCCCAGUUUUUUCUUCUCAUUUUGUGAGAAGAAAUUAGAACCUUAAAAUGUUUUCAGAAUAAGAUCCCAAACAGCCCAAGCCAGGAAGAGGACAGAGAACUAGGAGGAGCCCAAAGGGGUGCAGGCUUCUAUGGUUGGAGGACUGGACCAGAAGGCAUUGAUGAGAACUCGGACAGAACAUUCUAGAAUUACAAGGAACAGCCAGACUGAUUAAUACGUGGAACCUUGGCAAGGCGAAGACAAUUCUCAGUUAUGUUUCCCACUCCAGGAGAAUGUGCCUUCCUGUUUGAAAUGGAAGAGGGUUUUGUCCCAAUACGUGAUGAUCUCCACAGGCUGACAUUCUGGUCUCGUCAUCACACAGGAGUGACGUCUGAAGCUGAAUUGAUUAACACAGUGUUACACGAUCGAAAGCUGAGGAAAGGGGCCAAUGUGGAGCCACGGGAGGCUGUCAUCACUCAAUAUUAAUUGAUCCUACUUUUCAUCCAUAAAGCGGGGGCUGAAACAAAUUUUUGGUCACAAAAACGGCAACUACUACACUAUUAAGCCUCAAACUGGAAAUUUCCCAAAUGUUCAACAGGAGAGUGAUCCAACCAACUGUGGCAUAUGCAAAUAAGGAAAUAUUACUCAGAAAUGAAAAGGAAUGAAAUCUUGAUACAUACAAGCAAAAACUCAAUACACACAACAAGCAUGGAUUGAACGGCAAAGGCAUUAGGAUGGCCAGAUGCUGCUGCCAUGACAGGUGUAUGGCAAGCGAGACCCCUCAAAGACCAGCAGACUAGCCCCUGCUCAACUGGGGUAUCAGCUCACUAGGUGGAAUCAUGCCCAGAGGAGCUAUUCACUGACUAUUUCUCCUGUUGUUCUUCGUUUUUGUAAAGAACGCAUGCUAAAAGUCACCUGUGUCUAGUGAGACUGCCCCAGUUCUUCAUCUGCGCUCCAACCUACUCCCACAGCUCCAUCCUUCCAAAUUCCGAUGCUUGCCUCCCAUUGACACCUGAUCAAUCAGGUUACCUGUUUUAUGUGUGAGUUCAUUGUUGGAUCAGCUUUGACUA